UUCAAAGUCGAUCACAACAAAAUACUGAAAUUCUUGAUAUUGCACUUCAUGAGGGUGAGCUUGGGAAAACAUCUUGAAAGGCAGAUAUUGAAUUGAGUUUUCAACUGGAUAAUUGUAUUCCAAAUUCAUUGGAUAGAACGGGUUCUCAAUCGGAUAUAGCUGGUUCUGGCGCAGCAUUUGAAUAUCAAUGUAGUUCGGCAUGGUAAAAAAUUCUUGCUGGUAGAGGGACCUAUUAUAACCUUGAUUUGGAGAAGCCAAGGCUCCCCUGUUAAAUGAACUAUUUGCUUCCACAAUAUUACUCUGAUGAAAGUUUAGCUCAUCCCCGGGUUUAGGAAAACCCUUAACGGCAUUCCCACUUUCUUGAGAGACAUGAUGAGAAGCCUUAAUCUUGAGGCACCCUAGGGAUGCCUCAUGGGUUUUUUGCAUUGUUCCUUUUUCCUCCUCGUCAAUCAUGAUCAGAAUCCGGCGAGCG
rnacentral:misc_RNA from 1 species